rnacentral:rRNA from 1 species
CACGUAGGGUGCGAGCGUUGUCCGGAAUUAUUGGGCGUAAAGAGCUCGUAGGCGGUGUGUCGCGUCGGCCGUGAAAACCUGCAGCUUAACUGUGGGCUUGCGGUCGAUACGGGCAUCACUGGAGUUCGGCAGGGGAGACUGGAAUUCCUGGUGUAGCGGUGAAAUGCGCAGAUAUCAGGAGGAACACCGGUGGCGAAGGCGGGGUCUCUGGGCCGAUACUGACGCUGGAGGAGCGAAAAGCGUGGGGGAGCGA